GUUUAUGUAGUUUAAUAAAAACAUUACAUUUUCACUGUAAAAAUAAAAAUCUUUCAUAAAUA
rnacentral:tRNA from 1 species